GUAGGUACUCCAUUGUCUGACGGAUCUGAGAACGCUGUCUGGGCUUCGUGCCAAGGGCUGGUAUUCACACAGCAACGACGGCCUCACAGAAGAGCUGUGGGAAGCAGGAGGGCGAGCCUCUCUUAGGGUGCCACUACUAUGGAGACACAGCUGGGCUGAACAAGAUUUGCUUCAAACGACAACAAGAGAGACAGAAAGUAUCUGAUUCAACCGCUGCCCAAGCAGGCAGGCACCAGAAGAGCUAGCAGCCAAUCCGGCCAUGCUCGAAGCCAGUCCUGCAGCUCAGCCAAUCAGUGACAUCAUUGGACAUCUCUUCAGAUUGCUCAUCAUGAUAUGAAGAUGAAACUUAAUAGCAAUAACCAAUGGAUGCUUUUCUUGGAUUCAGUCCAACACUCUAGAGACCAGAUCUUCAGGAAUGUAACUGGGAUAAUUGUCCAAAUCGAAUCCCAUGCCCUGUCAUGGUGAGUAGAACCAUCUAAGAUGCUAUUUUUUUCGUGUUUAUCUGUAAUUUUUUUCAUUGGUAAUCACAGUUUUCUGGUGAUUGGUAUAGGAAAUUCAAAGAGCUGAUUUCCAUGUUUUAAUUCUCUUUGUGAUGGAAAGGUGCAUGUUUGGCUAGGGAUGCAGCUCAGUGGCUGCUGUGACUGGCUGGCAUCCGUGAGGCCCUGACUCUGCCUAGCGCCACAUACACCUGGUGUGUGGCAGGAUGGUAUACUGAAAUUCUAGCAAGGGGAGUUUGAGGCAGGGGCAUCAUAAGCUCAAGGUCAUCAGUUGUUACAGGGUAAGGUACCAAGAAGGAUAUUGCACCGUAGGAUCAUUAAUUAUCCCGAAAUGCAAACAUGCCAUGCAUAAGCGAGUGAAACGCUUGCCAGGUUUCUCUGAACUGCGGCCAAUGUAAAAUGCCUGAAAAUCAAUUCACUUGUUACUAUCAGACUCAUUUCACAAGCAGUGUGGGAAGGAUUCAUCGUUCAUGUGUCUGUCUAUACAUGUACAUAUAUAUAUAUACAUAUGCACUGAAGCCAAGACUGGAGAUCUUGUUCAUUAUUUGAACUUGACUGAUUGUUAGUUGUUCCUGGCUUUCUUUAAUGUGUUCACACACACACACACANUAUAUAUCUGUAUCAAUAGUUAUUAGAGAAACACAAAUUUAAAACAAAGUGGCAAUAGGCAUAGUCACCUCUGGUGACAAAAAUAAAAGUUCAUACAAUAGUUACUAAGGACCUGUGGAAGUAAACUCAUAAACAUGGCUGGUACAAUGCUAACGUGAUGUAGCCGCUGAAGAAAACAGCCUAAUAGCUUCUCAUAAGUUUAUAUGACUGAGUAAUUCCCAACUAGGCACAAGACAAGAAAUAGAAACUUAACAUCUGAGUUUCUUUUUCUGUCUUUGGGAUAAAACGCUCAUCAAGAGGCAACUUCGGGAAGAAGGGGCUUAUUUGGAUUCUGUUUUGAGAGGGUGCAGGCAGGCAUCCUGAUGGGAAAGGCUCGAACGCCAAGCGGCAGGCAGCUAGGGAUGGAUUCUGGUGCUCAGCUAGCUAGUUUUCCCUUUUUUAUUCGGCCCAGCAGUUAUAAUGGAUAGUUUUAAAUAAAUAUGCUGCAUUGACUAUGUCUAAUUCUGUAUAACUUAGUUGAAGUUAAUGUAACAAAGAAAAACAUUGACCCUGUGUAUUAGAAAAUGGAGUGAUGCCGGGGUUAGUGGCACACACCUUUAAUCCCGGCACUUGGGAGGCAGAGACAGGCAGAUCUCUGUUAGUUCAAGGUCAGUCUGGUCUACAGAAAAAGUUUCAGGACAGCCAGAACUACACAGAAAUACCAAGUCUUGAAAAAUAUUAAAUAGUAUUAAAUUACUUAUAUGUAUUUGUGGGGUUUGUGUAAAGUCCAUUAAAACAAUGUUCAUAGGAGUAAUUCUUCUCACCUGACAUCACAUAUAAAUAUUACUGUGGGUUUUUCUGUUAUUUUGUGUCCCUAGGUGGAAAGCCUCCUUAUCUAUAAAUAAGAAUUGUAGGUGCCUUCUGUCUUUUUGUUUUGGUUUUGGUUUUGCUAUAACAUAAGAUUUUUCAGUUCAUUGUUUAAUGGCACAGUGGUAGCUUACAGAUGAACACAAAAUGACUAAACAAUAUUUGGGUUUUCCAGGUUUUAUUUAGAAUGAAUGACUUUCAAGAUUGUCAUUUAAGUAUGACAUUGACUAUUUAAUGUAUUUUUAAAUCACUAGAAUGUUAUUCAAUGACACAUAAGCUAAACUAGAUUUUAUAAAAUUUCCCCCAGUCUUAUUUAUAUAUUUAUAAUAUAUGAAGAAAAUUUUCAAUCUGGUAAUUUUGUUUUCUUCUCUUAGCCAAUUCUUUGCUCAUGUGCCACUUUUGCAUAGUUAGAUAGCGUACUAAUCUUUGAGCAUGCAUUAUUUUUUUAAAUUAAGUAUUUUCUUCAUUUACAUUUCUAAUGCUAUCCCAAAAGUCCCCCCAUACCCCCCAACUCCCAUACCCACCCCCUCUCACUUCUUGGCCCUGGUGUUCCCCUGUCCUGACUGGUUAGUUCAUAUUGUUGUUCCACNCUCUAGCUACUCCAUUGGGGGCCCUGUGAUCCAUCCAAUAGCUGACUGUGAGCAUCCACUUCUGUGUUUGCCAGGCCCCCAUUAUUAACAACUUAAUAUGUGUUUGAACUCUCAUAAUAGGUUAUAUGGGUGAUUUCUCUCCUUCCACCACAUUCUUUUUUGAAAGUUAACCAACAUAUUCAGAGUUGGCCACAGGGGCCUUUACCUGAUGAGCCAGCUCAUUUUCUUAUUAUAUAGUUUAUUCUAACUUGCUUUUAUUUAUUAAGAAUUUUGAAAGCAUUGGAAAAUCAUGACAGAAUUUCUUACUAGCCUUCUCCCUGGCAGUGUGAGAGAGAUGUGUACAUUGCAAACAGCCCUGGAAUUUGAAGUUUUGGAAAAGAAGCAAAGUAAAGUAGUCAAGCCACAGACUAUUUUAUAAGUAAUAUAUUGAAAGUUAAAAUAGCUGAAUACGUUGCUGCAUGCCUUUAAUCUCAGCACUCAGAAGUCAGACCCAUAGAAUCUCUGAGUUUGAGGCCAGUCUAACUUACAGAGCAAGUCUCAAGACACCAAGGGAAACACAGAAACUCUUUCU
ensembl:processed_transcript